CUUGGUCAUUUAGAGGAAGUAAAAGUCGAACAAGGUUUCCGUAGGUGAACCUGCGGAAGGAUCAUUACAAGUGAGGCUACCGAACGUUGGAAACAGCGGUUAGGAGCUUACACCCACCCGUGUUUACAUACUAUUGUUGCUUUGGCGGGCCGUGGCCUCCACUGCGGGCUCUGCUCGUGUGUGCCCGCCAGAGAACCAAACUCUGAAUGUUAGUGAUGUCUGAGUACUAUCUAAUAGUUAAAACUUUCAACAACGGAUCUCUUGGUUCUGGCAUCGAUGAAGAACGCAGCGAAAUGCGAUAAGUAAUGUGAAUUGCAGAAUUCAGUGAAUCAUCGAAUCUUUGAACGCACAUUGCGCCCUGUGGUAUUCCGCAGGGCAUGCCUGUUCGAGCGUCAUUUAACCACUCACGCCUAGCGUGGUAUUGGGGCACGCGGUCUCCGCGGCCCUCAAAAUCAGUGGCGGCGCCGGUGGGCUCUAAGCGUAGUACAUACUCCCGCUAUAGAGUUCCCCCCGGUGGCUCGCCAGAACCCCCAAUUUUUUACAGGUUGACCUCGGAUCAGGUAGGGAUACCCGCUGAACUUAAGCAUAUCAAUAAGCGGAGGA
rnacentral:rRNA from 1 species